UGGCACCCCUGUGCACCCAUGAAAGGGCUCGGCGGAACACACCGGGUGUGGUCAGCCAGGUCUUGGGAUCUGGCAAGAUAGGAAGUCUACUCCUGCCCCAUCCCUAUCCCUUUAGGGGAUUCCUGGAUGU
rnacentral:lncRNA from 1 species